AUAUCAAUAAGCGGAGGAAAAGAAACCAACAGGGAUUGCCUUAGUAGCGGCGAGUGAAGCGGCAAAAGCUCAAAUUUGAAAUCUGGCGCCUUCGGUGUCCGAGUUGUAAUUUGAAGAUUGUAACCUUGGGGUUGGCUCUUGUCUAUGUUUCUUGGAACAGGACGUCACAGAGGGUGAGAAUCCCGUGCGAUGAGAUGCCCAAUUCUAUGUAAGGUGCUUUCGAAGAGUCGAGUUGUUUGGGAAUGCAGCUCUAAGUGGGUGGUAAAUUCCAUCUAAAGCUAAAUAUUGGCGAGAGACCGAUAGCGAACAAGUACAGUGAUGGAAAGAUGAAAAGAACUUUGAAAAGAGAGUGAAAAAGUACGUGAAAUUGUUGAAAGGGAAGGGUUUGAGAUCAGACUCGAUAUUUUGUGAGCCUUGCCUUCGUGGCGGGGUGACCCGCAGCUUAUCGGGCCAGCAUCGGUUUGGGCGGUAGGAUAAUGGCGUAGGAAUGUGACUUUACUUCGGUGAAGUGUUAUAGCCUGCGUUGAUGCUGCCUGCCUAGACCGAGGACUGCGAUUUUAUCAAGGAUGCUGGCAUAAUGAUCCCAAACCGC
rnacentral:rRNA from 1 species